AUCCCAUGAUGAGGACACUUAUGAAGAAAUUCUUUGAAUCUUUCCCGCGCCUCAUAUAAGGACUUGUCAUCCAAUUGUUAGAAAGUAUUUAUCUCAUUUCGCAACUU
rfam:Gossypium raimondii Chr12_contig_426, whole genome shotgun sequence.